rnacentral:lncRNA from 1 species
GUGGCAUUUCUCUCUUCCUUUAUUUUGCAGGACUAGCUGGAGCAUCACCUGUGUUUUUGGGGGGUUGCAGACAAAAUGCAUCAGCUGAGGUCCCAGACACGAGGGUGGGAGAGCUGCAGUCCUUCCCUACAGCAUCACUGCACAAGGUUGUCUUCUAAAACCUGCACAGCAAUGCUGUUUCCCUGAGUUGGAAA